ensembl:snoRNA
CUACAAUGAUGGCAGUGUUAUUCAAUAGCAGCUCACCUAGUGAGUGUUCAUACUUUGGGUCUGAGUGA